GCCCAGGUGAUGGAAUGGUAGACAUAGGGGACUUAAAAUCCCCAGGCAGCAAUGCCGUGUGGGUUCGACUCCCACCCCGGGCA
rnacentral:tRNA from 1 species